rnacentral:rRNA from 1 species
UGGGGAAUAUUGCACAAUGGGCGCAAGCCUGAUGCAGCCAUGCCGCGUGUGUGAAGAAGGCCUUCGGGUUGUAAAGCACUUUCAGCGAGGAGGAAGGUGGUGAACUUAAUACGUUCAUCAAUUGACGUUACUCGCAGAAGAAGCACCGGCUAACUCCGUGCCAGCAGCCGCGGUAAUACGGAGGGUGCAAGCGUUAAUCGGAAUUACUGGGCGUAAAGCGCACGCAGGCGGUUUGUUAAGUCAGAUGUGAAAUCCCCGGGCUCAACCUGGGAACUGCAUUUGAAACUGGCAAGCUAGAGUCUCGUAGAGGGGGGUAGAAUUCCAGGUGUAGCGGUGAAAUGCGUAGAGAUCUGGAGGAAUACCGGUGGCGAAGGCGGCCCCCUGGACGAAGACUGACGCUCAGGUGCGAAAGCGUGGGGAGCAAACAGAUUAGAUACCCUGGUAGUCCACGCUGUAAACGAUGUCGAUUUUGGAGGUUGUGCCCCUUGAGGCGUGGNUUCCGGAGCUAACGNGUUAAAUCGACCGCCNGGGGAGUANGGCCCAAGGUU